rnacentral:misc_RNA from 1 species
AUUGCUCGRCCGGCGUUCGGUUUUCCUGUGCUGAAUACCUAUCUCGAAGGCAUUCCGUCGGCUAAAGUUGUCCCUUUCCCGCCUUGUGCUGCUGCUCCCCGUGGGCAAGUGGCGCGGGGUGGGCCAAAUUGCGCACGUCGUGUAUCGCACCGCGUUCGACCCCUCGGGGCGUUCGGGUUGUCGACCCACGACGUGAUGCUCGGUCUCUCGGAUACGGAACAUCACGUGGGUACGAGGCCAUCGGCCUCCGAGCACCACAAAACAAGCGUUCUACGCUUCGUGCGAACGACUGUCGGUCCUGAUCUUUGGCCGUGCUCUCGCAGCUCGUUCAAGU